rnacentral:rRNA from 1 species
UGGCGGACGGGUGAGUAAUGUCUGGGAAACUGCCUGAUGGAGGGGGAUAACUACUGGAAACGGUAGCUAAUACCGCAUAACGUCGCAAGACCAAAGGGGGGACCUUCGGGCCUCUUGCCAUCGGAUGUGCCCAGAUGGGAUUAGCUAGUAGGUGGGGUAACGGCUCACCUAGGCGACGAUCCCUAGCUGGUCUGAGAGGAUGACCAGCCACACUGGAACUGAGACACGGUCCAG